CCUCACCCAUGAAUUUUUAACUCUAUAAAUAGUUUUUCUGUGUUUUCACCCAUGAGAAUAUUGUGCGUUUAAGUGUGUAUCUCCGGCCUGCCCACGCACACACACACAGAAAGUGACGGACAGCCACAGCUUCAGCUAACAGUUAUGUUAUCACAAGCAGCUCCCUCGUAUCAGAUAUCAAAGGAGUAAAUAGUUGCUUCCCAUCUGUUACGACUUUUGUGCCGUGUUCCGGUGUGACUGUGCGCUCUGCACAGGUAUUUGACAUUUACAGAUACCUGAGUGCUUCAGUGACUUUUUAAAAAUGAUUUUAAGCUAAGCUGUGAAUGAACGCCUUUGAAUAAUUUGGUUUUAAUUGACUUGAGGUGUGUUAUAACAAAAGCCAGACCUAGAAUUCUGCAUUAUGUGGUUAUCAGUCGGGCAACCACACGGUUCAGCAAAGACUUUUAGUACUUUGAUUCUAUGGUAACGGUGCAAAUAUCACAUUGAAAAAAUACUCAACUUUAUAAUGAGGGGCCCAUUCAUUUAAAAACUCAUUGUUUGUAUCGUUGAGGCGUAAAUCUUGAAGGCACUUUCCACAUAAAAUGGAAGCUGAACCCUGAUCUAGAGCGCUAGUCAAAAUAUUUACCUUGAAAAAAGCAUAAUAAGGGGCUGAGGAUACUUUAGAAAUGAUUCUGGUAAAAAACACUAAAAGAAGGAAUCAAAGGAUGAAUAAAAAAGGUUGUGGGGGACACUGUAAAAAAAAACUGGAAUUAUUUUUGUGCGAAGAGAUGAUCCCCCCCUGAGGGAAACAUCCUUUUGUUAAAGAUGUGAAUGGGAAAGCCGUAAACACAACGGAUACACGUGGGGAAUGAAUGUGUACAUCUGAACAAGGCAUUAGGACGCAUCAGUUCUCAACGCAGAGUCGUGAGAAGGGAAACACGUGUAAGAAACCCUUGAAAAGCAAAAAUCAACCCGCACACACUCACACGAGGCCGUGGCUUGAGGCCUUGGCUGGACUCCACGUGAGGAAAGAGUAUAACAAUGCCCUCACUCACACACACACACUCACACACACACUGGAGGGGGGUGGGGGGGGGGAGCUCUUGAGGAAACAGAAGUUACUAAUUAGGUAAAAUUGUACCACAUCAGUAAGACGUCUGGCAGAAUCCUUCCUCUCCCUGUCCCCCUCAUCUGUCUCCCUCCAGAUGUUUGACUUCCUGAUGCAUUGGCUUUGGUUUUUAGAGCUGUUUCAUGUUCUAUUGGCGCAGCAGGAAAUAUUGAGUCUAAUCAUUAGCGAGGGUGAAUAAUGAGCCCAGCUGAAACAACAAAGAAAGACGCCGCAGAAAAGCAAGAAAAAUAUGCUAAAGAGGAGUCGGUGAGACGCGUAGAUCUGUACAUAUGAUACGACUUGGACACCUGUAAGAUAUCAAAAUGACAAUGAAAUAUGUAAUAACAAAGUCUGAGAAAGGCUGUAGAUCUGUUUGUUUUUUCUUAAAAGGGCCCAGGAUUGAAACCUUAACCUUCUAUUCAUUGUGUCACCGUGAUCAGAACCUUUCUGUCAGAACAAGAGUAGGCGGCAUUCCCCCUUCGUGCUUUUAAUGGGAGCCAGAAGGAGUGUCGUAAGGGGAAACACACAUAUCCUGUCGGAUGUGUGUGUGACGUGCAAGUGUGUGAUGCACUCCUCAGCAGGCGGGAAUGGGACAUCAGCAGCAGGAUCCCGCAUGGAGGAUCCCUCACGGAGGAUCCCUCAUGGAGGAUCCCUCAUGGAGGAUCCAGCAUGGAGGAUCCCUCAUGGAGGAUCCCUCAUGGAAGAUCCAGCAUGGAGGAUCCCUCAUGGAGGAUACCCAACGGCCAACACAAACACAGCCAGAAAAAGAUGUGGCCACGGGUCAGUGGAACAGUCCUAGAAGAAAGAGAAGGAUGUCCCCUCUUUCAACCUCCCCCUUUCCAUGACGCCCACUUGGCUUUACCUCACACUCCCGUCUUCAAAGAUUACACAGACCGCAGCAGUAUUCAGGGUUGUUAUUUUUCCAGUAAAUGUGAGUACACUUCACAAAGUUGGCAAUCCACACGGGACCAUCAUCCCAAACACUCUGUUUAAGGAACUUUAAAAAAGAAAACCAGUGUGGAAAUGUCCGCCUCACAGACUCACCCAUACUU
ensembl:lncRNA